GCCGGUGGCCUAACCCCUUGUGGGAGGGAGCCGUCGAAGGUGGGAUCGGCGAUUGGGACGAAGUCGUAACAAGGUAGCCGUACCGGAAGGUGCGGCUGGAUCACCUCCUUUCUAAGGAG
rnacentral:rRNA from 1 species